rnacentral:tRNA from 1 species
GCUAAGGUGGUGUAGCCUGGUAGCACGGGGGGUUGUGGUCCCCUUAGCCUGGGUUCAAAUCCCAGCCUUGGCC